rnacentral:rRNA from 1 species
CCUACGGGUGGCAGCAGUGAGGAAUAUUGGUCAAUGGUCGGGAGUCUGAACCAGCCAAGCAGCGUGCGGGAUGAAGGUACUGAGUAUCGUAAACUUCUUUUGUGCGGGGAUAAACUGGGUCACGCGUCGCUUGUUGAAGGUACCGGAAGAAUAAGCACCGGCUAACUCCGUGCCAGCAGCCGCGGUAAUACGGAGGAUCCGGGCGUUAUCCGGAUUUAUUGGGUUUAAAGGGUGCGCAGGCCGUCCCGUAAGUGUGUUGUGAAAGGCCGGGGCUCAACCCCGGCCCCGCGGUUGAACCUGGCGGUCUCGAGUGGGCGGGAGGUAUGCGGAAUGCGUGGUGUAGCGGUGAAAUGCGUAGAUAUCGCGAAGAACUCCGAUUGCGAAGGCAGCAUACCGGAGCCACACUGACGCUGAGGCACGAAAGCGUGGGUAUCGAACAGGAUUAGAUACCCGAGUAGUC